GAUACUUCUAGCUUACUUUCUAUGCUCGACAUGUUUUUUGUGGAUUUAGGUAAGUUUAUUUUCUUCCUUAAAAUAUCUUUUGCAUGGACAAUAAAUAAAACAUUAUUUAUCAUCUCAAGAGUAUAUAAAAUUAAUCAAAAAUAUCUAAACUUAAGUCCUUAAAGUGUCAAAUUUCAUGACUUUAUUUAAAUAUCGGUAGAAAUAGGUCCAAUAUCUGGAGAAAACACAACAUUAACUUAAGCAGCUGAUAAAAAGCAAUAUGCAUCACAAGAAAGUGUUAAGUAAACGAGAACUUUGGUAUACCCACGUAGAGGUUUGAUAAAUUGUGUCCUUAUAACUUCCCCCGAUAAGCAAACCUGGGUAUUAGGGAUCUUUGAACAAGGAUACAAAGAUAUUAUCUCUGAAUUGGUUAUAAAUCUCUAAUGUCAAACUUCAAAGGAAAUGGCUUUUAAACUUUGAUAGGAAAGGGUACACAGUGAUAAACUGAAACAAAAUAAAUUGCCUAAUUAAGUGUGAAAGAUAGCGUUUAAUGACGUCAUUGUCUGCCCAGUAGUAUUAUAUGUUUGCUGUUACUUUCUAAAUUCACAAGAUUGUAAUUGGUAAUAUAAUAAUAACUUUUGAUAAAUUAUAUUUUGGAAUACAUUUAUUCUGGCCUAUCAUUAUUUCAUACUAAGCAACAGUUUGAAACAUUUUGUAUGCGGAAGGCGUUUAUAUAUUUCAUGUAAGAGGUUUUAAAUAGGCGGAGCGAAUGUUUUAUACAUUUCAAGCAGUUUGUAUGUAUGAUAUCAAAAUUAACUGAUUUGAUCCUUUGAUGUGAAAUGAAAAACGCCUUUUGCUUUAAUUCUAUUCUUUUUGAUUCAAGUGUUAAACUCAUCACGACCACCGGGUAUGCUUAUCGCGUAAACGGUUUUUCUUAAACAUAACACUGAUUUUAUGAUGCAGUAAAAGAAAAUUUCACUUUGAUAAGAGUUGUAAGUUAUGCUUUAUUUAUACUAAGAAAUAUCUUCAUUUUGACCACGAGUAAUGUUUAAAAGAUGCUAAGAAGUAGCUUUGAUUCAAUUGCUUUUUUGUAAAGAAGUUUCUAUCGAAGUGUCAGUUUAGUUUAUAUAAUUUGCGUAUGCCCGAAUAUGAAGCCCUACUGUCAUAGUUUACCAAAGCCUAUAUCCAUUUUAUUGUGAAGAAGAAAUUAGCUAUGGUAUAUGUUUUGGUAUUUUCUGAUAUAUCCAUAUAUCCAUGCAAAAAUAACACAUUUAUCUUAUGAAAACAAAACUGAGCACUUUUGACCAUUAACUGGUUAUAGAACACCGAAUAUACAAAGAAUUUUACCUGGUAAGGAUAUUCAUUUAAUUUUUACUUGAGAGUUGUGGUUGUAUGUGAAAGAUAUUUUAUACAAGAUAGACAAAAAAAUUAAAAAUCCGUGGUCACCUUAAAAUAGGAUACCCCCUUUUUUCACUUAUCAAACAGGCUAAAUAAAAGUGAUGUUAUGGUUAAUAUUUCCAAUUUACCGUGCAGGCUUAACGCUUUAUACGCAUCAAAUGCGGUAUAUAUGGUUUUUGAUUAUACACUAUGUGUCUAUCUAUCCGUGACUGAUACCCCGAUCAAAUAUUCAACUUCCAACCAUCACAACGUAUCACAAAGUAAUGAAUAAUGUAUAAAUCAAACCCGGAUGACAUUUUAUGGGUAAUUUAUUAUAUACAGAACAAAAAAUAGGGAUUUAAAGUGGUCAUACUAUUAAGAUGAAGAUCAAAUUUAUUCGUCUACCCUGUCAAGAGAAGACCACACAUUUGCUAGAUGUUUAUCAUCAAUCAUGUAUUUUCAAAAAUAAAUUAUAAAUUCUAACAUGGUGUGGUUUCAUAAUGGUAAAUCCCAUCAAAACGUCCACAUGAAGCCUUAUGAAUAUUAAUAUUUCAGUUAUGCGUUUGUGGUAUUCAAAUAUACAUAUAUGUAAUCGAUCCAUAAUGUGUUCAAUUCUAAAUACAUGAGUGAAAUCUGAAAAUACCUAGAUGAACAAACCCGUCUGAUGUAAUUUCAAAUUUCAAAUAUAGAAAGUAAAUGUGUUUCCAACAUAUAUAAAAAAAAUAUACCUGUGUAGGUUGUAUUUUCAUUACUUUUUAUUAUUAUAGUAAAUUAUUAUCCGCAUCAAAGUUAUAUGUUCUUUGCAACCAUAAAGUAACUGUGUUUCCUAUCGGAAUUUCUACACAAAAAUUACUUCACAUUUAAAAACCAACUUAGUUUUCUUAUUCAUUUACUUUAAAAGGCGUAAAUAUUUGAGCACUGUUUUUUUAGUAACGGAAUCCAUUCUAAAUUCCGGAAUGUGUUAAAUAAAAUAUGUAAACUCAUAGUUAAUGUGUAAUUAGUAACUCAUAGUUAAUGUGUAAUUAAAGAAGAAGCAACUAUAAUCAUUCUGGAGUCAUUGAAUAAUAAGUAACAAAGUAUACGUAGAAUAUUAAAUCAGCAUACAUACAUACAUACAUACAUACAUACAUACAUACAUACAUACAUACAUACAUACAUACACAUACAUACAUACAUACAUACAUGAUCACAUAUAUUUGUAAUAUAUUUCCAUUUAGUGGACUUUUCGUCGUUUUAUUUCCCUUCAUACUAUUGGAGUUUUUUUUUCCUUCACUUUUGCCUCUUUGUAUGUUUAAAAACAUCAACUUUAAUGAAAUUACGCUAAAUUUGAAUAAUGGAAUAACUAUUCUUCCAUACCAUGCAUAUAUAUUUUCUUGCUGCAUUUAGAAAAUACCCCCACCUUAGUAUCAAUAUACCAAGUUCAUUUGCAUAUGGAAUAUACAUUUCGGUAUUCAAAAGUUGCUUGCAUCUGUACUCAGACUUUGUAAAAGGUCACUAAUGUCUGAGCAAAGAUUUUUUGAACCAGGGUUAUGUCAAAGAACGUCUCGUCUUUUUUCUAAAAAAGUUCACUAAAAGGUACCAAGACCUAAUACAUUCCGUAUCAACUUCACAAAUAAUACAGGAUGGUCUUGAAGUAUUGAUUCUCGGUACUGACGUUAUUUAUCAUUUUAAUAACGUUUUGUAGUGUUCUUUUACUUGUCUUUUUGAAUAUAACUUUUACUGUUUAGACUAUUUCUGUUGAUAUUCAUUUGACGUGACUUGGUACUAAUACAUCCCGUCAUUGUGUUAUGGUAAUAUUUUGUAUUCUUGUCUUUCAUUUUUUGCUUAUGUGCUUUGUAUAUAUGCAUUUUUGUGUUUCUUUGUUACAUAUCUGUUUGUUUUUUAUAGUGAUAAGGAUUAUAAUACAAUGUUGACUGUGAUACCAGUAUUUUAAAAUUUUUACCUAUCAUGCCUGUUUGUUUUGUUCAUACAUUGUUAUCAAUAUAAUUGCAUUUGAUGCAAUUGUCAUAUAAGUGGAAGCUUAAGCUAGCUAUAAAACCAGGUUUAAUCCACCAUUUUCUACAUUAGAUAUCAGUAAUAUGAAAGUUGUUAUUCAUUCGUUUGACAUGUUCCAACUUUUAAUUUUGAAACUUAAUUAUGGACUUUCCGUUUAUGAUUUUCAUCGGAGUUCAGUAUUUUUGUGUUACUUUUUUCAGUAACGGUGUUUUAUAUUCUAAAUCCUGAAGAUAUUCUAAAUUGUGAGAUACUUUUAUAAUCACUCAUGUUUUAAGGUGAUUUUCCACGUGUUUAUCCAUUUUGUUAUAGGUUCCGGACUAGUAAAUUAUUUAAACAAAUUCUCUAUUUUUGACCACUUAUCGAAGGAUUUUUUAAACGAGUUAUACGACGGGUGACACUUAUUGGACGUUGCUUCUGGCCCUUCCGAACCACGUGAGUUUGCUUUUGUUUUCGUUGAAGUUCAUUUUUUGUUUUCCGUGUAGAAUUCAAUGUUUUAUAAGUAUACUUUUCGUGUAAUGUACUUUUAGACUUGGUAAAGACUUCUUUUUUUUUAAUUUCACCCUAAACUAAAAGUGGUCUUCACAGGUUACUACAAAUAACCGGGAAGUAGGCAACUCUUUCAGUGGUGAGAAAGUUGAUACUUUAAGGAUCUGGUCAUUUAUGUUAGCAAAAAACGUUCUGAGUCACAUUUUUAUGAGGUUUGAAAUAAAAACUGGUGAAAUGAUUCAAAAUUGAUCAUAUAAGCCAUGUAUGAUUGAUUAUACCCAAUAUUCUAAUACACUAGUGGCAAAAAAUACUCAAUCUUGUCAAAAUUGCAAAUCUUAUUUUCACUUUUGAUAAAUCUCUUGUAUACAAAAUGCUGUUAUGAACUGUUUUAAGUGGGAAAUGAUUUAUAGCAUUUUGAUACGAUAUCGACAGUUGUGUAUGCUCAUUUGCACCGACUCCAUUUAUUUGUCAACGAAUAUUCAUACGUCCUCAAGCUUAAAUAUAAACGUAUAUCGACAUUGUCAUUCAUUUCUUUUAUGUAUCCGUCAAAUUCUCUGGAUUACAUUUCUCAUACAGAAGAUUACUCCGUAUAAAAAUUAGGAAUUGGCUAUUUUGAAAAUAAUUUCAGCAUUUCAUAGAGAAAAUUGUAUUUGUUAGUUGUGAGUGAUUUAUGAGGACCCAAAUACAUUGUUCACUAGAAUGCUUUUAUUAUAAAUUUGUUUCUUUUUGAGGUCCCAAUCAUUAGUCGAUUGAUGUGAAUAUCAGAAGUGAUAUUUCCAUAGCCAAUAUGACCUGAAGUUAUUAUCUUGUAUUUUAUAGUCUUUUGGGAUGAAAAGGUGCACUGAUCUUCACUAAAAUUAUUGCCAUUUAUCUUAAUAUUUCUCUGUAUAGCUAGAUGAUUUUUAUACCGUGGAGAGUCAUUUCUUUUAUGGAUACAAAAUAUAAAUUUGUUAUAAACGUUUUAUAUUUCUUCAAAGGUUUUUUUUAUUAUUCAUUAAAAUGUCAGUUUUUUCAUUUGAAACUUCAUAGGUUUUUGUAAUUAAAAAGACUCGGUAGCUUCCUUCUGUAAGUCUCAUUUGACAAUAUCUACUUUCACGUCUUAUAAAUAAAGAAAAUUUUCCAUAGAAGUUGAAAUGAAAUGAUAGCAAGGUUGGUAAUAAUUAAUGAUAAUAAAAUUGUGAAUACAUAUCAACAUGACAGGCAAAAUGGUUGCUGCGCCUUGUACAUUUUUUCUUGGCCCAAAACCAUGAAAGAGUUUGACAAUUCUGAAUUUAAGGUCACAUCGGACCUCUAUAGAUAACAUAUGGGGCACCACAAGGACAGAAUAUUUACCCUUUUCAAAAUGACAGUGUUUAUGUUGUUGUUUUGUUUUACGAGCAGGGACUGAAUAGACAUGCGCAAUUAAAAUCUUAAUAUUCUUUUCACAGGCAUUCAAAUAAGGCUUUGAAAGUGAAGACAGACACUAUAUGUACCUACAAAUGCAUCCAUGCAACAGGCAUUUUAUAUGUUAAAUGUGUUGAGGACUAGUUUUAUUUUUACCGAUGUAAGUAUGACGUUUUAUGUUGUCUGAAGGUCAAGAGUGGUUUAAAUGUAAGCAUAGCUUCUGUCCCUGUAUAUGUGGCUUGUUUAGUCUUUAACGACACUCUCAAUCCUUUGAUGUGACAACUGGAUUGACAAUUUUGAUAUCAUUUAUCUUAAAUAUUUGAUUUAUUAGACAACUCACGAAGGACUGCAAAUGUUUAAUUUGUUUAAACACUUAAAAUUCUAUCUUACUUUGGGAAAGUUGAUAUGGUUCUCCAUGGCGAUUUAUUCAACUGAAAUAUUUAGAUUGACUGAGAGAGAAAAAGAACAAAAAUAGGCUAAUUUAUUUUCCUGAGUGUAGCUUUGUUUGAAAAAGCCAUUUAAAUCUACAGGAAUUUUAAUUGUCGUAAAAGUUUUCGUCUAAAGAUUAUGUGUAAUAAAAAAAAACAAGAAGAUUUGCAAUGUCAUUUUGAAAAUGUAAUUUCAUACAGAAACUAUAUCAGAAGAACAAUAAUUUCCAUGUGCUAAAGACGAGGUACCUAUAUGCAAACUUACAUUAUCUUUUCAGAAUUCAUCAAGAUUACUAGUACAUUAAAGGGGCAUUAACCGUUUUCUUGUUAUAAAUUGUCAACGUGCAACAAUGUGUUGCAAUAUACAGUUAUACCCUUGAUAAGUUUGUGAAUCAAAUCGAAGGUUACCAUUGCCUUUGGCAUAGAUGUGUCUUUAUAUUUGUUCUUACCUUCAAACUUUAGCAAAAAGGGUGAAACUAAACAUCUGCUAAAAAAAUGAAGUUCGAAAUAGUCUUUUUUUUUCCUCUCUGGUAUAAGUGAUAUGAUAGCAUAAAAAAGUAACGCAUAGUUAGUAUAAGCUUGGACUAUUAUACUUACCAUACUACCUAAGUGUAAAUAUAUUUUGUCCCAGGUAUAAGGAAAACAAUGAGGGAGUAACAAUCAAAAUAGGUGUCGUUUGUUUAAGGGAAAUCAGUUAAUCCAUAUUAUGCUCAAUUUGUCUCAGUGUACGAAAGACUGGGCGUAUUCAUUAAAGCACUAUGCUUUCCAUACGACUUUUUCAAACUCAACAUUGAGACCCAUUACAGUUAAAUAUUGUCAUUGAUAUUUACAAUAUGAGGAAGGGAGUUCAAUUUGGAAUAGAAACGUCUUGAUAUAAGAAAUAAUCUAGUCCAAAAUGAUAUUUUGAUAUAUAGCGUCUGAUAAAAAUAUGUGAUGUUUGAGUAGGCUACUGCUCAUAUUUAAUUCUUACAUUAACAUUGAAAAGUUAGGUCAAAUACGUUUAUUUCGACAUGUUUAUGGUAUCAAAUAGAAAAUACUUAAAUGGUAAGACAAUAUUAACCUUAGAUUCUCAUAGCAAAUACGAUUUUCAUAUAUCUUUCCUUUUCAGAAACUGUCAUUCAAAAGCAAUGUAAUUAUAAACGGAAGC
rnacentral:lncRNA from 1 species